rnacentral:rRNA from 1 species
CGCGUAGGUGGUAGUGCAAGUCUGAGGUGGAAUCCCAGGGCUUAACCCUGGAACUGCCUUGGAAACUGCACUACUUGAGUCAGUGAGGGGAGGGUAGAAUUCCUGGUGUAGCGGUGAAAUGCGUAGAUAUCAGGAGGAAGGCCGGUGGCGAAGGCGGCCCUCUGGCGCUGAACUGACACUGAGGCGCGAAAGCGUGGGUAGCAAACAGGAUUAGAUACCCUGGUAGUCCACGCCCUAAACGGUGGGUACCUAGGUGUAGGGCUCGUAAGGGUUCUGUGCCGAAGCGAAAGCAUUAAGUACCCCGCCUGGGGAGUACGGCCGCAAGGUUGAA